GGCCCAUACAACGGGCUUAAAGUGAAUUUGCUACAGCGUGUUUUAAUGGAAGUGACAUAACCUUAUGGUUAUGCAUCAAGUUUUAUAAAGUGACUUAGGACAUGGCUUGUUUUAGGCAAACAUUUAAAUAAUAUUUUAAGUGUGCUAUGGAGCUGUGAAGAUCAGAAACGUGGGGAGAACAAGGUUUUGGCCAUUGUGACGGAUAGUGCCGCAUAUAUGCUGAAGGCCGCAAAGUGUCUGGGGGUGUUUUACCCUAAAAUUAUGCACCUCACGUGUCUGGCUCAUGGCAUUCAUCGAGUCGCUGAAGAGGUCAGAGCCACAUUGCCAGAGGUCAACAGCUUUCAAGACUGCUCACCAUGACUGUCCUCUGCCACCUGAACCAGUCUUGACGAGGUGGGGAACGUGGAUUUCAGCUGCAAACUAUUAUGCAGACAACCACAGAAAAGUUGAAGAGGUACUAAAGGGUUUUGAAGAUAGCGAAAAUUUAGCCAUACCAAAAGCCAUGGACGCAUUGAAGAAUUCCAGCGUGUUACACAGCCUAUCUUUCAUCCGAGCGCACUUGGGUGGCCUUCCAGACCUAAUUGAGAAACUUGAGACUCGUAACAAGGAAGUUGCUAAGGUAGGCUCGACGAAGGACUCAAGACACAGAGCAAGAAUUGGCCAGGUCCGAUCGAUGAGCGACUUAGAAGAAAAUUGGAUGCAGUUUUCCAUAAAAAUCCCGGUUGGCCUACGAUUCAGAAGAUCGUUCAGUUACCGGAAGAAGAGAAACGCUCCGAGAUUCUAAAUGAUUUCACGUCGUCUAAUGUCGCUGCUCUUAAAUUUUUACCUGUAGUGUCAUGUGAUGUUGAACGAUCAUUUUCAAGAUUGAAAAUGUUAUUAUCUGGCCACAGGAAAAAUUUUCAUGUAGAGAAUAUGGAAAAAUGUUGGUAGUUCAAACAAACUCUAAUUUUUAGAAUUUACCAAACUUAUUGUGUAUGUACCUAUGUUAUACUUCAUUUUAUUCAUUGAA